rnacentral:rRNA from 1 species
AUUGAACGCUGGCGGAAUGCUUUACACAUGCAAGUCGAACGGCAGCACGGACUUCGGUCUGGUGGCGAGUGGCGAACGGGUGAAUAAUGCAUCGGAACGUGCCCAAUCGUGGGGGAUAACGUAGCGAAAGUUACGCUAAUACCGCAUACGAUCUAAGGAUGAAAGCGGGGGAUCGCAAGACCUCGCGCGAAUGGAGCGGCCGAUGUUAGAUUAGGUAGUUGGUGGGGUAAAGGCUCACCAAGCCGACGAUCUAUAGCUGGUCUGAGAGGAUGAUCAGCCACACUGGGAAUGAGACACGGCCCAGACUCCUACGGGAGGCAGCAGUGGGGAAUUUUGGACAAUGGGCGCAAGCCUGAUCCAGCCAUUCCGCGUGCAGGAUGAAGGCCCUCGGGUUGUAAACUGCUUUUGUACAGAACGAAAAGCUCUGGGUUAAUACCCUGGGGUCAUGACGGUACUGUAAGAAUAAGCACCGGCUAACUACGUGCCAGCCGCCGCCGUAAAAC